rnacentral:lncRNA from 1 species
CCAGCCUCGGGGCCCAGGCUACACUCUCAGGGGCCCAUCUAAUGCCUGUGCCCAUGAGAGCAGUCUCUGAGCUCUCCCUUCACCCCAUAGGCUCCUUUGUGUUGUAACAAGGUUUGACAGGAAUCACGGCGCCCAGAAGACCACCAGGAAGCAGGGACAGCAUCCCCAGAGGGUAGAAGCCCACAGCUCACAGCUGCAUCCCGAGGAUGACAAGUCCAGUCCCCUCAGCUUCCUGCCUGAGAAAGCGCAACACUGUCAGGAGAAUUGACUGUUUGCUCGAGCCAAAACUUGGUGAUGGGAGAUGGGCCCUGAACCCCGUCUUACAGCAGAGAGAGCCAGUCUCCACCCCUCCAGGACGGAAUCUGUUGUGAAGCGGGUCGUCGGUAAGAUGGUCCUUCUGAAUUGGUCUAAAUGGCGUUGGUAACGAGGGGCCUGUGUUGGAUUCAGGCUGCCUUCACAGGCACGGCGGUCAGACUCAAGACAAACCUGAGUACAAGCGUGGUGGACAGAUCCCCGCUCCCCUGCACCAGAGGCUUCAACCUUAAGGUUGCUGCCACCUCUUUCUCAACAGCACGUAUCUCCCAAGUCCCAGGGCACACCCCGGCCUCCCCACUGCGUGCAAGGACCUUGGGCGCCGGGAGCAGGAGCUCUGCAACCAGAAAUCUCAGCUUUGGGCCGUGCAUGGAGAGGCUGGGUGAUGAACUGGGUCAAGGAUGGGCCCCCAGCGCUGGCGCACAGUUCCUCCACCCCUGCCCCUUCCAGAAGCCUGUCUCUGCCUGGACGUCUGCAGGCCAAGGAACCCAGCGCUUACCCCCUCCCUGUGCUACACAGACCAGUCAGGGGUCCCGUGGGUUCCUGCUGUGACAGGCCCAUGCAGGUCCUCUUGCACCCCAGCAGUUUUACAGAGGAAACAACAUGCAGA